GCGUCGCCGAAUGGAGUAGCCAUGGAGUGAAGAGUCCCGACACUAGUCUCCCAAGUUUGAGGUGAAAAUACGUUUUGCCCAAGUUUGACGUGACCGUAAACGCACAGCAGACCUACAGCGUUGCAGUUAUGGGAUUGAAAGUUGAGUCUUGUGCCAAGUGAGUGAUGCUUUAUUUUCUUGUCUUGUGGUUGGUCAGUUCUUUAUCUUGUUCUGAUGUUUCCCAGAUAUACAUAUGGCCAACCUGUACCUGGUCAAGCCUUAGAGAAGUGUGCCGUGAUCCAUUUCCAUACAGUCUGCUUCAUCAUGACCAGACAGUGCCUGACUCAAACCGCAGAUGAAUGCCACGGGCUGUGCCUCUCUUACUGUUGAUACGUCAGUGUUUUUCAACACCAAAUGCAAGACUCAUUUCUUGUAAAUGUGAAUGUUACUGAGGAGGGUACAGGUGAGCUAUUGGCUGAUCUCAACCAUAUACUCUUUAUCAUCUUUACAAGACAUGCACUUUAAGCCACAAAGUUGAUAUUCUUCACUGUUUGUUUGGACUUUCUCUCGCAGAUGUAAUGGUGUCAAUCUGCAAUGGUGUCCAUUACAAACAAAGCUGUAUAUCUCAUGGAGGGGAGCAACUGGCCCAACAAACUGCUGUUGAAUCUAACCCCAAACAAGAAUGGACGGGCUGCGUUCUCCCUAAACACUGCUAAUCUUAAGGCUGGUCUGAAUCUGGUGGUACGACUUGUAUUUUGUAAAAAUUAAGACUUUCUCUAGCAUGAAACUGAUUAAGUUUGAUCUUCCCCAGGCAAGUACUAAUCCAGAGGUUUCUUAUGGUUAUGAAUCGCCAUACUUCACUACAGAUACAAGUGACCGUGGAGUAUUCAUUUGUUGGAGAGGCUAGUAGCUACAGUGCUGACAAUCU